rnacentral:rRNA from 1 species
CCUACGGGUGGCAGCAGUGGGGAAUAUUGCACAAUGGGGGAAACCCUGAUGCAGCGACGCCGCGUGAGUGAAGAAGUAAUUCGUUACGUAAAGCUCUAUCAGCAGGGAAGAAAUACUGACCUUACGGUCAGCAGACGGUACCUGAGUAAGAAGCCCCUGCUAACUACGUGCCAGCAGCCACGGUAAUACGUAGGGGGCAAGCGUUAUCCGGAUUUACUGGGUGUAAAGGGAGCGUAGACGGUGCGACAAGGCUGGAGGGAAAUGCCGCAGCUUAACUGCGGAACUGCUUUGGAAACUGGCGAGCUAGAGUGCGGGAGGGGUAAGCGGAAUUCCUAGUGUAGCGGUGAAAUGCGGAGAUAUUAGGAGGAACACCGGUGGCGAAGGCGGCUUACUGGACCGUAACUGACGUUGAGGCUCGAAAGCGUGGGGAGCAAACAGGAUUAGAUACCCUUGUAGUC